GGGCCUGCAACAAUGUUACCCAAAUCACCGGCAUGUCGCUCAUCAUCGGUAGGAGCUCCGUGAUCCUUCUUGAGUGGAUUGAAGUGAGGACCUGAGUGGAGUUGCAGCCAUUGGUGGUGUCACCAAGAGCAUGAAUAUGAAAUCCAUGAAGACCUGGAGACAACCCUGUUAUCUUUCCAGUUACAUGUGUAUAAUUCCCUGCACAAUCACAAUCAUAAUUACUAUUUGAAAAACUCAAGUCUCACACCAAAGAGAAAUAAAACCUGAAAAGAGUUAACACAAACUGGUUUCGUAAAGUCCCACAUUGAGAUAACAUC
rnacentral:lncRNA from 1 species